rnacentral:rRNA from 1 species
CCUACGGGAGGCAGCAGUGGGGAAUAUUGGACAAUGGGCGAAAGCCUGAUCCAGCAAUGCCGCGUGAGUGAUGAAGGCCUUCGGGUCGUAAAGCUCUUUUACCAGGGAUGAUAAUGACAGUACCUGGAGAAUAAGCUCCGGCUAACUCCGUGCCAGCAGCCGCGGUAAUACGGAGGGAGCUAGCGUUGUUCGGAAUUACUGGGCGUAAAGAGUACGUAGGCGGUUAUUCAAGUCAGAGGUGAAAGCCCGGGGCUCAACCCCGGAACUGCCUUUGAAACUAGAUAACUAGAGUCUUGGAGAGGUUAGUGGAAUUCCGAGUGUAGAGGUGAAAUUCGUAGAUAUUCGGAAGAACACCAGUGGCGAAGGCGACUAACUGGACAAGUACUGACGCUGAGGUACGAAAGCGUGGGGAGCAAACAGGAUUAGAUACCCUGGUAGUCCACGCCGUAAACGAUGAUAACUAGUUGUUCGGUCACUUGGUGACUGAGUGACGCAGCUAACGCAUUAAGUUAUCCGCCUGGGGNGUACGUCGCAGAUAACUACAAGAAGUAGACGCGNGAGACGNGCGACGACGACACGAGGAGAGG